GCCGAGCUCCUUGUAGAGGAGGAAGCCGGAGAACUCAGCGGUGCAGGAGCGCUCGAGGAACUCGAUGAAGAUGCGGCGGGCAUCGCCGGUGAUGCCGUCGGCGGCAGCCUUGAAGGAAUCGUUCCUCACGAAGUGCUUCUGGUUGAAGUCCUCCCUGAACUCCUGGAGGAUGGCCACGAGCUCGUCUUCGUCGAGGUUGGGGUUGAUCUCCUUGCUGAAGAGCUGCUCCAUCUCGUCGAAGUCAGUGG
rnacentral:lncRNA from 1 species